rnacentral:rRNA from 1 species
UACGUAGGGGGCAAGCGUUGUCCGGAUUUAUUGGGCGUAAAGAGCGUGUAGGCGGCUUUGCAAGUCCGUUGUGAAAACUCGAGGCUCAACCUCGAGACGCCGGUGGAAACUGCAAAGCUAGAGUCCGGAAGAGGAGAGUGGAAUUCCUGGUGUAGCGGUGAAAUGCGCAGAUAUCAGGAAGAACACCCGUGGCGUAAGGCGGCUCUCUAGUACGUGACUGACGCUGAGACGCGAAAGCGUGGGGAGCGAACAGG